CGGACGGGUGAGUAACGCGUGGGUAACCUGCCUCAUACAGGGGGAUAACAGUUAGAAAUAGGUGCUAAUACCGCAUAAGCGCACGGCUCCGCAUGGGGCAGUGUGAAAAACUCCGGUGGUAUAUGAUGGAUCCGCGUCUGAUUAGCUAGUUGGCGGGGUAACGGCCCACCAAGGCAGCGAUCAGUAGCCGGCCUGAGAGGGUGGACGGCCACAUUGGGACUGAGACACGGCCCAAACUCCUACGGAAGGCAGCAG
rnacentral:rRNA from 1 species